rnacentral:rRNA from 1 species
CAAUAGCGUAUAUUAAAGUUGUUGCGGUUAAAAAGCUCGUAGUUGGAUUUCUGCCGAGGACGACCGGUCCGCCCUCCGGGUGAGUAUCUGGUUUGGCCUGGGCAUCUUCUUGGAGAACGUAGCUGCACUUGACUGUGUGGUGCGGUGUCCAGGACUUUUACUUUGAGGAAAUUAGAGUGUUUCAAGCAGGCACACGCCUUGAAUACAUUAGCAUGGAAUAAUAAGAUAGGACCUCGGUUCUAUUUUGUUGGUUUCUAGAGCUGAGGUAAUGAUUAAUAGGGAUAGUUGGGGGCAUUCGUAUUUAACUGCCAGAGGUGAAAUUCUUGGAUUUGUUAAAGACGGACUACUGCGAAAGCAUUUGCCAAGGAUGUUUUCAUUG